GAGCACUGUCCAUGUUGUAUCCAAAUCUCUCAAUGAAACUGGAGGCCAUGUCAAGCCAGCCAACCCACUUCUUUACGUCUUGCUUUAUAUACCAUGUAAGAGCCUCUUUUGUGAGACUUCUCAUGAAUAGUUUCAUUAUAAUAUUUUCAUUCCUACUCCUACCAAUUUAUCACAGUAUAUACGAAGGUGUGCCUUGGGAUCCUUGGUCCUAUUAUACAACUUGAACUUAGGAGGCUUAUACCCC
rnacentral:lncRNA from 1 species